UACGUAGGGUGCGAGCGUUAAUCGGAAUUACUGGGCGUAAAGCGUGCGCAGGCGGUUUGUUGUGUCGGCGGUGAAAGCCCCGGGCUUAACCUGGGAAUGGCCGUUGAAACUGGCGAACUGGAGUGUGGCAGAGGGGGGUGGAAUUCCGCGUGUAGCAGUGAAAUGCGUAGAGAUGCGGAGGAACACCGAUGGCGAAGGCAGCCCCCUGGGCUGACACUGACGCUCAGGCACGAAAGCGUGGGGAGCAAACAGG
rnacentral:rRNA from 1 species